UCAUUUCAACUGAUCUUUAUCGCCUUCAGCAAUAACUUCUCUCCUAAGUUUAAUUUUGAGAGCUUCUGUUCUCUGCUUCUUGGUGCUCCGUGUCUUUAAAAUGUCCACUUUUUUUUUCUUAACCAAAUAAAAGUACUGGGUUUGAGGUAGCAGGCAACAGAUUUGUACUGAUUCAUGUCAGUGCCGAGUACCCUACCAACCUAUGGUCCAACAGAAAGUUAGCAAUCCAGCCGAUACUGACGCUUGACUAACAGGUCUCUCUUUGGUGAACAAGGCAACCAUCAGCAGCAGACCCACUGUGGAGUCUCCUGGGAAAGUGUGAACAUGACAGUACACAGCUUACAUCAAAGACAUUUCAAUUCUGCAACAAGCCUUUCUGCUUCGGGGGACACUACAGACAUGAAUGAGAAGAUAGAAGAAUUCCGGGAGAACUGCUACCCUCCUGGGUCAAAGAUGGGGCUGCUUUUCUGCUAAUUGGACCUUCUCAGUACCUGAAAUGCAACAUCUAGAAAGAGAACACAUCAGAUCCUCCUAAAUUAGUUUCUUCUGAUUCUGUUUGCUCAGUCACUCCAGCUCAAAACCUCUGUCACCAUGUUUAACUACUUGUCUAGUACCCCUUAUAUUACUUGCCAAUUUAUAUUCAUUCUGUGUCCACUGCCUUCACAAUGUCUUCUUUAUCACUUCCCUUCUUUCCACUCCCACUUACACAGUCCUCACAGAAGCCCUCAUUACUCCUCACUUGGACAACCGUAAUAGCUUUCUAACUGUCUCCUCACCUACCCUUUCCAAGCCCUAAUGUAUUCUACUCGCGACUGACAUAUUAAUCUUCCUAAAGUCUAUCUUUAAUCAUGUCAUCCCUUUGCUUGCAAGUGUCAAAUGUCUUCCCAGUGACUACUAAAUUAAGUACUAAGUUUUCACCCUAACAUUCAAGGCUCCCCAGAGUAAGCCUUAGCUGAUCAUUUGUGCCUCAUUUCCCAUUAGUCUUCCAAGCCCCUUAGGGUCAAUCUAGACUAUGAGCCAAUCCUCAGUCACAUCUCCUGAGCAAAUCCCUCUAUUCAUUCUUGUCCUUCUUCAAAGAAUGUCCUUUGCCCUCAUUUUAGCUUAGAAUGCCACCCUUUCUGCAAGGUCAGUCAUGGAAUGCUUCAUGGAACAUUUCUGGACUUUCCCCUGUUGAAUAUAAUUUCUUACCAUUAUUUGUGCCUCUCUUAAAGCACUAAUCACAGUCCCGUGAAGAGUUAAAAAGUUGCAGGGACUUAGAGCAAGGAGAUCUAUCCAACUUACUCUCUCGUGAAUUGGAGCAAGAAUGUAAUCUUUUAAAUAUCUCAGUUUAUGUAAUAAAAUUCAACAAAUAUUUGUUAAGAACCAUCUCUAUGCUUGGAAUAUAGCAGUGAACAAAACAAAUACUUACCUUCUAAGGGAGAUGACAGAUAUACAGGCAUUUAGAAAUAUACAAGGUGGGCAUCUGGAUGGUUCAGGUGGUUAAGCAUCUGACUCUUGAUUUGGGCUCAGGUCAUGAUCUCAGUGGACUAAAAUUUGUAUUUCAGGUUUGAAAAGAAUAGCCUUUUUAAAAGAGACAAAGAAUUCUGUGCUUUCCUGAUUUCUUUAUAAUUUUCUCUAUUUCUUUGCGUACUUAAACUGAAACUUGAAUCCAACAUUUUUAAGUCACAAACAGAUAAUUUUUCUUCACAUUACAUUUUCAGUAUGGAAAAAGAAUAGAUUUUUCUUACCCAGAAACCCCUACCAAGGAUCACCAGGAAUUGCAAUAUACCCACUGAUAUCAACUCUAUGGUAGAUUCCGUCAUGAAUUUUUAACUGCAUACAUGAACCUAUUUUAUGUCUCAAUUCUUACUUUUCUUUGUUCUUUUGUUCCCAAUUUACACUGCCUAAUUGCACCGUUUGGGCCUUUUUAAGUUUUUAAAACUCCUUUCUAGAACAAGGCUUCGGCCAGCCAACCAAUAAACAAAUAAGUAUGUUUAUACCCUGUAAGCAUGUACUAGAUAUGAAUUCCUGCUAAUGGUCUCUGGCUCCCAGAUGAACUGGAGGAAAUAAGAUGUAUGCAUAGUAGGGCAACUACAUUCUUUUAGUUCCAGAUUGCAUGCGUUUCAGAAAUCAUAUAAUUUUGCUUUCUUAGAUUUGUGUUUCUUACACGGGCUCAUUAUGGAAAAUAAAAUGUAUCCCACA